AUCCAGCUGACGAGUCCCAAAUAGGAAGAAAUGCGCAUCUUAGAU
rnacentral:hammerhead_ribozyme from 1 species